rnacentral:rRNA from 1 species
GACGAACGCUGGCGGAGGGAAGAAUAAAGGAAAGUAGAACGCUGAAGGAGGAGCUUGCUUUUCUGGAUGAGUUGCGAACGGGUGAGUAACGUGUAGGUAAAUUGCAUGGUAGCGGGGGAUAACUAUUGGAAACGAUAGCUAAUACCGCAUAACAGUAGAUGUUGCAUGACAUUUGCUUAAAAGGUGCAAUUGCAUCACUACCAGAUGGACCUGCGUUGUAUUAGCUAGUUGGUGAGGUAACGGCUCACCAAGGCGACGAUACAUAGCCGACCUGAGAGGGUGAUCGGCCACACUGGGACUGAGACACGGCCCAGACUCCUACGGGAGGCAGCAGUAGGGAAUCUUAGGCAAUGGACGGAAGUCUGACCGAGCAACGCCGCGGGAGUGAAGAAGGUUUUCGGAUCGUAAAGCUCUGUUGUAAGAGAAGAACGAGUGUGAGAGUGGAAAGUUCACACUGUGACGGUAUCUUACCAGAAAGGGACGGCUAACUACGUA